rnacentral:rRNA from 1 species
UAGCGUAGGGGGCAAGCGUUGUCCGGAAUCAUUGGGCGUAAAGAGCUCGUAGGCGGUUUGUCGCGUCUGCCGUGAAAGUCCGGGGCUCAACUCCGGAUCUGCGGUGGGUACGGGCAGACUAGAGUGAUGUAGGGGAGACUGGAAUUCCUGGUGUAGCGGUGAAAUGCGCAGAUAUCAGGAGGAACACCGGUGGCGAAGGCGGGUCUCUGGGCCGAAACUGACGCUGAGGAGCGAAAGCGUGGGGAGCAAACAGG